rnacentral:rRNA from 1 species
ACUGCCCGGUAGCUAAAUGCGGAAGAGAUAAGUGCUGAAAGCAUCUAAGCACGAAACUUGCCCCGAGAUGAGUUCUCCCUGACCCUUUAAGGGUCCUGAAGGAACGUUGAAGACGACGACGUUGAUAGGCCGGGUGUGUAAGCGCAGCGAUGCGUUGAGCUAACCGGUACUAAUGAACCGUGAGGCUUAACCUUACAACGCCGAAGGUGUUU